rnacentral:rRNA from 1 species
UGCCGGUGACAAACCGGAGGAAGGUGGGGAUGACGUCAAAUCAUCAUGCCCCUUAUGACCUGGGCUACACACGUGCUACAAUGGGAAGUACAACGAGUUGCGAAGUCGCGAGGCUAAGCUAAUCUCUUAAAGCUUCUCUCAGUUCGGAUUGCAGGCUGCAACUCGCCUGCAUGAAGCCGGAAUCGCUAGUAAUCGCGGAUCAGCACGCCGCGGUGAAUACGUUCCCGGGCCUUGUACACACCGCCCGUCACACCACGAGAGUUUGUAACACCCGAAGUCGGUGAGGUAACCUUUUUGGAGCCAGCCGCCUAAGGUGGGAUAGAUGAUUGGGGUGAAGUCGUAACAAGGUAGCCGUAUCGGAAGGUGCGGCUGGAUCACCUCCUUUCUAAGGAA